rnacentral:rRNA from 1 species
AUACGUAGGGGGCGAGCGUUGUCCGGAAUGAUUGGGCGUAAAGGGCGCGUAGGCGGCGCGGUAAGUCUGGAGUGAAAGUCCUGCUUUCAAGGUGGGAAUUGCUUUGGAUACUGCCGCGCUUGAGUGCAGGAGAGGUUAUCGGAAUUCCCGGUGUAGCGGUGAAAUGCGUAGAGAUCGGGAGGAACACCAGUGGCGGAGGCGGGUAACUGGACUGCAACUGACGCUGAGGCGCGAAAGUGUGGGGAGCAAACAGGAUUAGAUACCCUGGUAGUCCACACUGUAAACGAUGAAUGCUAGGUGUAAGAGGUAUCGACCCCUUUUGUGCCGGAGUCAACACAAUAAGCAUUCCGCCUGGGGAGUACGGCCGCAAGGUUGAAACUCAAAGGAAUUGACGGGG